rnacentral:rRNA from 1 species
GUUGGCGGAAUACUGGGCGUAAGCGCGCGCAGGNGGUUNGUUAGUCUGAUGUGAAAGCCCACGGCUCAACCNNGGAGGGUCAUUGGAAACUGGNGGGACUUGAGUGCAUAAGAGGAAAGUGGAAUUCCACGUGUAGCGGUGAAAUGCGUAGAGAUGUGGAGGAACACCAGAUGGCGAAGGCGACUUUCUGGUCUGUAACUGACGACUGAGGCGCGAAAGCGUGGGNAGCAAACAGGAUUAGAUACCCUGGUAGUCCACGCCGUAAACGAUGACUGCUAAGNGUUAGGUGGNUUCCGCCCCUUAUUGCUGCAGCUAACGCAUUAAUCACUCCGCCUGGGGAGUACGGCCGCAAGGCUGAAACUCAAGGGGAAUUUGACGGG